rnacentral:sRNA from 1 species
UAUUUGUACCAGAGAACUUACCUGAUUCUACCUGCACUUCAGAUGCUUAAGACAUGUCUGUUUUCUCCACUUUCCCCAACCAGAUUGCUGAGAGGGUGGAGCCCCGGUGAGGGAGGCAGCAUGGUGUGGGAGCCUGAAGGCCGUGACUUUGGGACCUGCCAGGGACAGCCGAGUUUUAUCCCCUGCAGUGAACUGUGGGCAAAUCACUUAACCUCUGAGCCUCAGUCUUCCUGUUCACAGGAGAUGGAUAAUCAUACUUAACCUCAGCACAUUGCAAGGAUUAAGUCAGCCAAGGCGUUUAGAAGCAUUUUGUGUGGGGUGGGUUUUAAUAACUUAGUUCCCUCUCAAGGCUUUGCUGCUCUCAAGUCGGGGAGGAGGUUCCUUAUUUCAGGUGCCCUCAUAAGGACUGCUGGGGGAACAAAACGGGUGUAAAGGAAACCAGUGGGCUGGGCGUGGUGGCUCACACCUGUAACCCCAGCACUCUGCGAGGCCCAGGUGGGCAGAUCGAGUGACCAGCCUGAGCAACACAGCAAAACCCCGUCUCUACAAAAAAUACAAAAAUUAGCGAGUCGUGGCGGUGCACACCUGUAGUCCCAGCUACUCAGGAGGCUGAGGUGGGAAGAUCAGUGGAGCCUGGGAGGUCGAGGCUGCAGUGAGUGGAGAUGGCACCACUUGCCCUCCAGCCUGAGCAACAGGGUUAAAAAAAAAAAAAAAAAGAAAACCAGUUUUGGAAAACCAGUGAUGUUUAAUGUUUAGGAAAUCAGUCUUUGGGAGACUUCAUCCAUGAAAUCUCUGCUUGGCCUGGCCAGAAAUUCUCUCUAGUUUAGAUUGACUUGGCACCACUUUGGGGAACUGUCAGUCACAUGCAGACUUACAUCCCCACCACACAAUCAAUUCACUGAUGCAGAGGAGUGAGUUUUGUGUUUCUUCACAUUCCAUGCUUCUGGGCUGGCACUUAGGAACAUGAGAAACUGAAUAAUUGAAUGGAAGAGAGGCAAGACCGCCCUCUAGUUGUAGCGAUACAUUUUGUGUAGUGGCUUUUUAUCUGCUUCGAUGUCUCAGGUCAGAAGUUUUGCUGUAGAGGAAGAGGAGGCUGGUAAGAGCAGGUGGUUUUUAUGAUUCAGUGAUCUGCGCAGUGCUUGCUUCUUGGUGAAAGACAGGGCAGGUCCACAUCCAAUCCUAAGGGGCUGCCAUGUAAAAAGCUCAUCCGCCUGCAGGCUUGGGAAAAAAAACCCUUAACACUUGGAGAGGCUACUGUUGCCUGUGGCUAGGGUGAGUGGAUUGGAAGGCUUAAAAUUACUCUGACUAAUGUAAUAAUUAAUUGGCUUUGAGGCUGGGAGAGGCCCUGAAGUGACUCAUUUUCCAUUUGUUUUUCAGACUCAUCUCCAGCUUUUAUAGCCUUUCAUGAUAACUUUCACUUCUGAAAUUCUUACCUUCCCUUCUUGGACUUUUGAAAUGAUGCUUUCUGUCCCUGAAAAGGGUUGAAGAAUAUUUUUUCUUCCUGGUUUUUUGCUGAGGUAGUGUGGUCAGAGAGAACUGUUAACUUGGUGUUCUUGUAAGGAUUCUCCAAAGGUGUGUUACGAUGUGUUUGAGGUUCUAUUGCACAUAAGAGCGUAACCAGCCCUCAGUGUAGUCUAGAAGAAGAGGCAGACAUAUGAAUACUUGAUAAGCGCUAUUGAUUGAUUGAUUGAUGACAGGCUAGUUUUGUCCUGAUCACUCGCUUCAUUUAUUAGUUUGUUUUUUUUUUUUUUUUGAGACAGAGUCUUGCCCUGUCGCCAGGCUGGAGUGCAGUGGCGCGAUCUCGGCUUGCUACAACCUCCAAUUCUCUGGUUCAAGUGAUUCUCCUGCCUCAGCCUCCUGAGUAGCUGGGAUUACAGGCACCCACCACCACGCCCAGCUAAUUUUUGUAUUUUUAGUAGAGACGGGGUUUCACCAUAUGGGCCAGGAUGGUCUCGAUCUCCUGACCUCGUGAUCUGCCCGCCUCGGCCUCCCAAAGUGCUGGGAUUACAGGUGUGAGCCACCGCGCCCAGCCCGUUUACUAGAUUUUUACUUAACAUAACAUAGAAAUGUGUGUAAUUGUGCUUGCCCGAAAGAGCAGUCCCUGGAGAAAUUCUUAUCCUGAGUAGCUCCCAGGGGAGAAUAUUCAGUAUUUCAGCGCUCCAGAGGGCUUCUCUCUCUUCACACCUCCUCUGUCAUUCUGCUUCCCCCCUUUUCUCUCGGUCUUCCUGAUUGCCCUUUCCCCGUCUCUCUCUCCGUGCUUUUCCCAUCUCUCCGUGCUUUCUCCCCUGUAGCGUUCCUGUACCUCCUGUUUCCUCCCCUGACCUAGAAAACAUAGUUUUAGAGCUGAAAGGGACUGGUUGAGUUCACUGGGCCCAACUCAGUUUCUUUUAAUUAAAUAUUUUAUUUUGGGGUCAUGUAAAUCACAUGCAGUUGUCAUCAGUAAUGCAGAGAGCCCAUGUACCCUCUACCCAGCUUUCCCCAAUAGAAGCAUCUGCAAAACGAUAGUGCAGUGUCACAACCAAGACAUCUGCCAGGAUGCGGUCAAGAUACCCCAAUCCCUGGGGCCUCACGUGCUGCCCUGUGUACCGCCCCUCCCUCCAUAGCCCCUGGCAGCUACUGAUCUGUUCUUCAUCUCCAGAACUUUGUCAUUUCAAGAAUGUUAUGUAAAUGGAAUCAAACAGUAUAUAACCUUUCGGGUUGACUUUUUUCAUUCAGCAUAACCCCCUGAGGUCCAUGCAGAUUGUUGCUGUAUCAGUAAUUCACAGAUAGUUUCAUUGCUGAGUCGUGUUUUAUGACAUGGACGUACCACAGUGUGUUUAACCACUGAAAGACAUCUGGGUCCUUUCCAGUUUUCAGCUGUUAUGAAUAAAGCUCUUAUAAAC